GUUUCACUUCAGAUUGAAACCCAAAGAAAUAACAUCCUUUUACAAUAGCUCUCCUAGUCUUCACUUCACCAUUCGGAACAUUUAAGAACUAGAACCCGGGAAUGAUAUUGACUCCAAACCCUUUGUCUAAGCAGAUACGUUCUUGAUAUGUCCUGUUCAUCUUCAAUGUGGUGUUGAGUUUGACUAGUGGAUCCACCAAAUGCUCCCCCUAAGCUGUUGCUGGGAUUUUCUUAACAAUCCUUAUCCUUGCAAAGAGAUUCUGCUUGGAUUUGAAUCAUCAUAAUACGAAUGAUAUCACCUUUAACAGCUUGGAGCAAAGUGUCGUUCAAUGUCCUGUCCAGACUUACAAUCACCUUCUGUUGAUUAAUCACGAUCACCCUGUAGACUGUAGACUCCAUUGAGUAGCCGAGGAAAAUAUUCUUUG
rnacentral:lncRNA from 1 species